AGAUGGCUUCGGCCAUCUAAUCUUCUCUUUUUUAACCCAGCCAGAGACGGUCACAAGCCCGUGAAAUGGGGAGUGGAAA
rnacentral:ribozyme from 1 species